GACGAACGCUGGCGGCGUGCCUAAUACAUGCAAGUAGAACGCAGUUGCGAACGUGUGAGUAACGCGUAGGUAACUGCCUCAUAGCGGGGGAGAACGAUUGGAAAAGAUGACUAAUACCGCAUAAUGUGAGAUGGACCUACGUUGUAUUAGAUAGUUGGUGAGGUAAAGGCUCACCAAGGCGACGAUACAUAGCCGACCUGAGAGGGUGAUCGGCCACACUGGGACUGAGACACGGCCCAGACGCCUACGGGAGGCAGCAGUAGGGAAUCUUCGGCAAUGGACGGAAGUCUGACCGAGCAACGCCGCGUGAGUGAAGAAGGUUUUCGGAUCGUAAAGCUCUGUUGUUAGAGAAGCGGUACCUAACCAGAAAGGGACGGCUAACUACGUGCCAGCAGCCGCGGUAAUAC
rnacentral:rRNA from 1 species